GAUGAACGCUGGCGGCGUGCCUAAUACAUGCAAGUCGAGCGAACAGAUAAGGAGCUUUCUCCUUUUACGUUAGCGGCGGACGGGUGAGUAAAACGUUGAUAACCUACCUAUAAGACUGGGAUAACUUCGGGAAACCGGAGCUAAUACCGGAUAAAAUAUUGAACCGCAUGGGUUCAUAGUGAAAUGGGGCUUUGGUGUUACUUUUAAAUGUAUUCGCGCCGUAUUUGGUAGUUGGUAAGGUAACGGCUUUUCAAGGCAACGAUACGUAGACGACCUGAGAGGGUGAUCGGCCACACUGGAACUGAGACACGGUCCAGACUCCUACGGGAGGCAGCAGUAGGGAAUCUGCCGCAAUGGGCGAAAGCCUGACGGAGCAACGCCGCGUGAGUGAUGAAGGUCUUCGGAUCGUAAAACUCUGUUAUCAGGGAAGAACAAAUGUGUAAGUAACUGUGCACAUCUUGACGGUACCUGAUCAGAAAGCCACGGCUAACUACGUG
rnacentral:rRNA from 1 species